CCUCUGGCCCCUCCACCACCGCUUUGCCGGCAAUUUUUUGAAGCAUUUCUGCACGCAGGAGCAGCGCACCUCAGAUGAGGAUGUGUCUCUAAUCCUCUGAUCCAGGCUGUUUGAAGAAGAAAAGACACACAUUGAUGAGAAGAGAAGCUAUUUUCACUCAACUCACCGAGGAACCUGCCAUUCCCGCAAUGCUGUGAUCUUCUCUACUCUGCCUGGCUGUUUUCGCCUGCCUCUGUUUUCAGAUGGAGUUUAUAUAGUCAGGAUUGACUCUGAAGCCCUAUCUGGAAAAACAUGGUGGAAAUACACCCUUGGACUGGGCGACAGCUUCUGGCAGGGAUUCACAAACUGGACAUUUAACAUCAAACACUAUAGCUGGUACUGACGAGGGAUGCCUAAACAGUUAAACAUCUGUAACAACUCCUGUUUACCUCUGCUUCACUCAAGUCAUCACAGAAGCGCUGCAUUUUAAAUACGAUUAUGUUUUUCAUGCAAAACUAUAC